GUAAGAUUAGUAUAAUUUAUUAUUUUAGACCAAGGAUCUAAGGAUUUAUUCUUACU
rnacentral:tRNA from 1 species